rnacentral:rRNA from 1 species
GAUGAACGCUGGCGGCGUGCCUAAUACAUGCAAGUCGAGCGAACUGAUUAGAAGCUUGCUUCUAUGACGUUAGCGGCGGACGGGUGAGUAACACGUGGGCAACCUGCCUGUAAGACUGGGAUAACUUCGGGAAACCGAAGCUAAUACCGGAUAGGAUCUUCUCCUUCAUGGGAGAUGAUUGAAAGAUGGUUUCGGCUAUCACUUACAGAUGGGCCCGCGGUGCAUUAGCUAGUUGGUGAGGUAACGGCUCACCAAGGCAACGAUGCAUAGCCGACCUGAGAGGGUGAUCGGCCACACUGGGACUGAGACACGGCCCAGACUCCUACGGGAGGCAGCAGUAGGGAAUCUUCCGCAAUGGACGAAAGUCUGACGGAGCAACGCCGCGUGAGUGAUGAAGGCUUUCGGGUCGUAAAACUCUGUUGUUAGGGGAGAACAAGUACGAGAGUAACUGCUCGUACCUUGACGGUACCUAACCAGAAAGCCACGGCUAACUACGUGCCAGCAGCAGCCGCCGUAA